AUUGAACGCUGGCGGCAGGCUUAACACAUGCAAGUUGAGCGGGGGAAGGUAGCUUGCUACCGGACCUAGCGGCGGACGGGUGAGUAAUGCUUAGGAAUCUGCCUAUUAGUGGGGGACAACAUCUCGAAAGGGAUGCUAAUACCGCAUACGUCCUACGGGAGAAAGCAGGGGAUCUUCGGACCUUGCGCUAAUAGAUGAGCCUAAGUCGGAUUAGCUAGUUGGUGGGGUAAAGGCCUACCAAGGCGACGAUCUGUAGCGGGUCUGAGAGGAUGAUCCACCACACUGGGACUGAGACACGGCCCAGACUCCUACGGGAGGCAGCAGUGGGGAAUAUUGGACAAUGGGGGGAACCCUGAUCCAGCCAUGCCGCGUGUGUGAAGAAGGCCUUAUGGUUGUAAAGCACUUUAAGCGAGGAGGAGGCUACUUUAGUUAAUACCUAGAGAUAGUGGACGUUACUCGCAGAAUAAGCACCGGCUAACUCUGUGCCAGCCGCCGCGGUAA
rnacentral:rRNA from 1 species